rnacentral:lncRNA from 1 species
AUAAUAAAAAAAAAGAAUUGAUUAAAAAAAUAAUGAAAACAAAAAAAACAACAAAAAACAAAUAAAUUUGAUAAAAAAAAUUGAUUAAACAAAAAAACGAAUGAAAAAAAAAAACUAAAAUAAAAAUAUACAAAACUUAAACAAAAAAAGCAAGCGAGCGAGCGAGCGAGAGGGGGGCACAAGGGUAAAUUUGUGGGUGGGGCGGGGGCUUUUUUUUUUUGGUGGGUGGGUGAGUGGGGGGGGGGGGGUGCGGGGUUUCAAGCAGGACCCUAUACUCGCGCGUACGGAAGUUUGAUUGGGACUCCCCACUACGCUUUGUUUCCAUCUCACCAAAGUGUUGUAAUCCAACGCCACUCAUCUUUAUUAUUUAAUUUUUAUGCAUUUUAUUUCAGGAGAGGAAUCCAAGAAAUUAAAUCACAAAUCACAAAUCACAAAUCACAAAUCACAAAUCACAUGAGUAUUUGUGUCGCAAAUGAUUGAAAGGAUCCAAAGCAAUUUUUUGUUGGGAGGAACUCAUCUUAAGGACCCUUUGAUAUUUUUUUGUGUAUUUGGUGUAAAUUUGUUUGGAAUGAAUUUAUGGGAGUGUAUUAGAAUUUUUUUUGGCUUAUACCAAACGGGGCCUCUUAAUUUCGAUUUGCUCCUUUAAUUAGUCCAGUUGGGAACGACAAUUAUGUUUUUGGACGGAUUUUUACACUUUUCAGACAUGUACUAUUAUUUGAGGGAUGAAAUUGAUUUUUUCUUAUCAUUUCCACCUAAAUUUUAUUAUAGUAUGUCAUUUGAGGGAUGAAAUUGAUAUUUUCCUAUCAUUUCCACCUAAAUUUUAUUAUAAUUUGCUCAAUCCUACUGUAAAUCACUAUCAAAGAGCCACAUGUCGGUCAUGUGCUGUAAAUCCGUUCAAAAACCCAACUUUCAUUACUAAUUGGAUUGAUUAGCCAAGAAAACUAAAAUAUAAAGUUACAAUAGUAGGAUUUAAAAAUAUAGGGACAAAAAAAAAAUCAAGGAAAACUAUAAAACUAGGAGUAUAACCAAAAAAAAUAAAAGUAAUAUGAUAGUUCAUGACAUCUCAAGCAUGAGCAUAAUAUCCACAUCUUAUUAUAUAAAACUGUUCCAUAUACAUAUAUAUAACCGGCCCUUUUUUACUAGAUCAAGACAUAAAGACCUAGCAAGCAAACACAAACUCAUUAAACAGUACUUGGCCAAUUAUUUAGGGUAGUUCCUCACGUUGCUGAUUUCAAGACAACUCAAAAAACACAACACAAACACAGUUAAAAGAAAGAGAAAACGUGGUGGAUCGAUUGAAGAGCCACUAACUAAGAUUAAAAGAGGUGGUGGUGCUUCUUGCCAUGGGCCUCUUUAUCCUCUUUCUUUGCUUCUUUCUUCUCAUGGUGCUCAUGGAACACAUAGCCACCGGCUCCGACCGCGAUCGCCGCACCAACUUCUUCCUCUAUCUUGUGCUUGUGUGCAUGCUCUGGGUCUUUCUUCUCCUUGUGCUUCUCAUGCUAAAGAUUUCAUCACAAGGCAACCCAAAAAGUAAAUUAAUAUACAAUUUAAAAAGUUCGUGUAGGUGUGUGUCAAAAUAUUCUAAGAAAAGCAGUUUUUGGAUUCUAGCGUCUCGACUGUGCCAACUUAUUUGGCACCACUUUUAUUUGUUUGAGCAAAAUUAAUACUGUUUGUAGGCCGAAUUCUAGCGUCUCGACUGUGUCAACUUAUUUGGCACCACUUUUAUUUGUUUGAGCAAAAUUAAUACUGUUUGUAGGCCGAACUGUUUAUUUUGUAGGAACUGCUAUACAAAAGAUUAGGCUGAUCGUGCCUCAGUGGUGGCAUGAUUGAAUUAUUUUUGUUGGAAUAAAAAGUAAUUAUUUACAUGGGCCCGUCCUUUUUUUUUUGAAUACUAUACUAAUUUAAUUGUAAAAGUGACUUUCUCUGACCAAGCUGAUUUAUUGCAUAAACGAUUUUCUCUAUGUGUUUUAUAAGAUAAACGGAUUAAAUUAUUGAGGUGGGUCCACAGUACCCAUAAUUUUUUGUCCAACUUUACUCGAAAGUUCAAUAUUAUAGAGAUGUCUUGUCCAUACGAAGUGUUUCGAAUAUACGAAAUGUUUGUGCAUGUUAAAAAAUCGGCAGUCCAAAUAUGAUAUAUGUUUUAUCACUUUUGCCAUGUUUUUGAAUUGAUGUUACAAUUCAACUUUUUUUACUUUCGAAUAAUUUUAAAUGUCAAAAGGGUAAUUUUGAAAAAUUUUAAAACCGACAAACAAAUUAAAACCAAAGGAAAAGAGUAUAUUAUAUGUACAUAACAAGUGACGGAACAUUACCAAGGCAUACGCGCCGGCAGCAGUAGCACCAAGCUCGCCGAGGUGUUCGUGAUGCUUGUGUUCCUUCUCCUCUUUUUUAUAAUCAACUGGUUUGCCUUCAUCGUCCUUGUGGUGGUGGAAGAGGUGGUGGUCGUGCUUCUCCUCCGCCAUGGUGGUGGUGGUUGGAAAACUAGAAUGAUUAAGAUUUAAGU